rnacentral:rRNA from 1 species
GACGAACGCUGGCGGCGUGCUUAACACAUGCAAGUCGAACGGAAAGGCCCUGCUUUUGUGGGGUGCGCGAGUGGCGAACGGGUGAGUAACACGUGAGUACCCUGCACUUGACUUUGGGAUAACUUAAGGAAAGUGGGGCUAAUACCGGAUAGGAGCUCUUGCUGCAUGGUGGGGGUUGGAAGGUUUCGGCGGUUGGGGAUGGACUAGCGGCUUAUCAGCUUGUUGGUGGGGUAGUGGCUUACCAAGGCUUUGACGGGUAGCCGGCCUGAGCGGGUGACCGGCCACAUUGGGACUGAGAUACGGCCCAGACUCCUACGGGAGGCAGCAGUGGGGAAGAUUGCACAAUGGGCUGAAGCCUGAUGCAGCACCGCCGCGUGCGGGAUGACGGCCUUCGGGUUGUAAACCGCUUUCGCCUGUGACGAAGCGUGAGUGACGGUAAUGGGUAAAGAAGCACCGGCUAACUACGUG